GCCGCCGGCAGCGCGGGGGGCAACGUCAAGGUCGGCAUGGCCUACGACGUGGGUGGCCGUGGCGACCAGUCGUUCAACGACUCGGCGGCG
rnacentral:tRNA from 1 species